rnacentral:rRNA from 1 species
GAGUGGCGAACGGGUGAGUAAUGCGUCGGAACGUACCGAGUAAUGGGGGAUAACGCAGCGAAAGCUGUGCUAAUACCGCAUACGCCCUGAGGGGGAAAGUGGGGGAUUCGCAAGAACCUCACGUUAUUCGAGCGGCCGACGUCUGAUUAGCUUGUUGGUGGGGUAAUGGCCCACCAAGGCGACGAUCAGUAGCGGGUCUGAGAGGAUGAUCCGCCACACUGGAACUGAGACACGGUCCAGACUCCUACGGGAGGCAGCAGUGGGGAAUUUUGGACAAUGGGGGCAACCCUGAUCCAGCCAUUCCGCGUGAGUGAAGAAGGCCUUCGGGUUGUAAAGCUCUUUCAGCUGGAAAGAAACGGUGAGCUCUAACAUAGCUUGCUAAUGACGGUACCAGCAGAAGAAGCACCGGCUAACUACGUGCCAGCAGCCGCGGUAAUACGUAGGGUGCGAGCGUUAAUCGGAAUUACUGGGCGUAAAGCGUGCGCAGGCGGAUUGUUAAGCAAGAUGUGAAAUCCCCGGGCUUAACNUGGGAAUGGCAUUUUGAACUGGCAGUCUAGAGUGUGUCAGAGGGGGGUGGAAUUCCACGUGUAGCAGUGAAAUGCGUAGAUAUNUGGAGGAACACCAAUGGCGAAGGCAGCCC